CAUCAUCACAGGUCUUUUACCUCCCCCAGCAACACAGUUUUCAGCCUGACUCCUCCCACACAGGAUCACAUGUCAUGACAUCACCGCAGGUCCUUUAGCCCACUACUCUUUUCCAGCUCUGGUGCAGGUUACUACAAUAUAGGAUCUGCACAGUGGAUAUCUUCUAUAUAAGAUCCUUCUCCUGAUUGAUGCAUCAAUGAUGGACAGGGACAAGAUGGCGGAGAGUAUAAUAAAUCUCACCCUAGAGAUCCUCUACCGGCUUACUGGAGAGGACUACACAGUAGUGAAGACCUCUAGUGGGCGCUGUCAGGCCCCUGUGUCUGAAGGAUGGGGAGGAACCCUGAGCCCAAUCACAGGGCCUCCACCUCACCCCCUAAUAUAUGAGGAAAUCAAUACAGAGAAGAUCCUGAAACUCACCCACAAGAUAAUUGAGCUGCUGACUGGAGAGGUUCCUAUAAGGUGUCAGGAUGUCACCGUCUAUUUCUCCAUGGAGGAGUGGGA